rnacentral:lncRNA from 1 species
UUUUCAUUGAUUCAACUUGUUUCUAUGUAAAAAUCAUUAUUUUUAAAAACGUCAAAUUUGUACAACUGUAGGCAGAAGGGAGUCUACUCCAACUAGCUCAUUUCUAUGCCCUGUUGACCAACCCACAAUUUUUUAAAUGUAGAGGAUGGUCACCUUUUGAACAACCAAAAUGAGUGCUCAACUUCUUAGCUAUUUCUUGGAUGAUUUCACAAAUUCCACUGUUAAGGGUUUAAAGCUUCAAACUUUUAGUUUGAGUAAUACCAAGCAGAAAAUGUCCCUGGAAAGUAAGGGGUAUUGAGGCUAUUAUCUUUAGACACGAAUGUGAAUAAAGCAAUGAAAGAUAUUUAUCUUAAUACUGAAGAAAAGAGAAGAACCAAAAGAAAGAUACCAUAAUGAGUGGGGUGGGAAUAUGUGUGUGGAUUAAAAGAGAAAGUUUAUUUUAAAAAACUUGAAUAGGUAUCAAGGAUGAAGAACCAGGAUCUCAGUCAAAACACAGAUGUCUACAUUACAACGUGGCCUAAAGACUGUCUAGCAGAAACAACAGGCUGUGUUCUUGCUGGAAAGCACCAUUGCCUAUACAAGAAAAAUUUCCUGACUGCAACUGGAAUGGCACACUGUUGACUGAAUGGAGUCAGGAAAUGGGGCCUGGGAGGAAUCCUGAGUGACUUCAGACAAUCUUUAAUAACCUGCUAACAUUUCCAGAUGUCUUGAUGGCCACUCCAGGGGAGGGGAGGGCAUUUAGAGAAGCUGGACAGUUUAUCUGGCUCUUGCAAUGAAGGAUUUUACUGAAAUGCAUAUGAUUCUUAGAGGUUUAGACUAGAAGUGCCUCCAGUGUAAAUAAUUAUAACUUUAAAAGCCUGCCCCUUCAUGUGAAUUCAGUCUAUUACUGUUUUUGUUUUGUUUUUGUUUUUUGUAUCUCUAGAGAUUACAGGGAUAAGCAAAAUUCUUAAAACAAAAGUAAUACCCCAACCACACAGGGUUUCAAGAUGCCUAAGGGAGGCAGAGGCAGGAGAAUGGCGUGAACCUGGGAGGCGGAGCUUGCAGUGAGCCCAGAUCGUGCCACUGCACUCCAGCCUGGGCGACAGAGUGAGACUCCAUCUCAAAACAAACAAACAAACAAAAAAGAUGCCUAAACUGAUUGUAUAUACUUCCCAAUGUGACUUGGAAAAGCCCCGCACAUUUUAAGAGAAUAUUCCUAGAUAUGCACAAUCAUCUGUUUAAGUUAUUUAGAGGUUUUCUCUCUUAGUAGCAACUACCUAGCACAGUCACCGCCUUUAGAAUAAUUUCUAGUAUCACGGGACUUCAGAUCUCUAUUCAGUUAUUGAUUUGGUAAUUGCAAGGAGGUGAGCAUCAGGAUACUGAGAAGGCAUAAGUUCCGAUGAAAGGGGAUACAAUUACUGAUGAGCCGAAGAAAGAAAUUGAUAAAUUCUGGAUACAGUAAUAACAACCGUCACUCAAUUAGUUAAUUAAUUUUUCAUUCAUUUAUUCGUUGCUCCAGCAAUAAUGUCUCUGUUCCUACUAUAUACCUGCCACUGUUCCCGGAUCAGAGAGAGAGAGAGCAGUGACCAAAACAGGAAGGUGAGACACAUGGGACUCGAAGCCAAUGUGCCUCUUUGUGGAGCACACUAAAAUACUAAUCUUCUAAAGAUGCAUAUAUGAAAAGUCAAGUUCAAAGUUUUUUAUGUUAUUCACUAGUCCAAACCUUUUUUUAUGUAUAAACCAACAACAGUCUUUAACCUACGUUAAAAUUUCAGCAGUACCGGGCUUCAACUGAAUUCUGAAAACUCAUUUUCCUUUCCUUACGUCCAUCCUUGCUAAUCAAAUCGAUAUACACAGACCACACAGGAGUCUGUUAUAGAACACUCAGUACAUAUAAAUAUACAGG